CCACCAACAGGUUUUUAAUUGGUUACAUCUUAGUACAUAACUUUAUGUAGUGCUCUGCAAAUGAUCUGAAAUAUCUGUUUGGACCCGUUCUCGAUUUGUUCUAAUCUUUAAAAACAAUAUAAUAUAAGAACAAAUUUGGAAUCCUAAACAAAUAUACUAAGAAAUAGCAGUGACAUAUAGAUAUAAUCAAAGGGUUUUGUUAUGAUUUUUUUUUUUUUGCUAAAAGGGGUUGUUAUGAUUUGAUUGGAGUCUAUAUACAAUUCUUAGAUCUUUGAAUUAACUGGACUGGGAAUGAGAAAGCCAAAAACAACAGCACACGAGAUUUAUAGAAAUUAGGGUCCGUUGCGGAAUCUUGCCAGAUUUUUUUUUGUUUUCUUUUCAGAUCCGUAUGUUGAAAUUUAUUUCUACGUUGGUCAAAAAUUCAAAGACUAAUGGAAUGUAGUUUGGAUUGGCAAGCUUUAAACUGGAUUUUCUCAAUGGUAAAAGACUCAAAUAUCUAAUGAAUCUAUAAUAUUAAAGCACGAUCCUAUUACCUUUUUUUACCUUAGCUUGCUCUUUUCUUUAUUAACAUUACAUGCUUUAUUAAGGGCAAUCAAGUAAUAUUAAUAACAUAUCUAUAUUGGGCCUUUUUUUUUAUCCAGCCCACAUCAGAUUUCUCUUGGGUCAUUUGGGCUGAUUAAGAAAUCAGAUCUGAUUCUCACAUUUUUUUUUUUCUUUUGGGCCAUUGAGUCCAAAUUCAAAUAAUUUUUUUUCAACUAUUCUUAAUUAUUUUUUUUUCUUAAUAUAAUUUAAGCAUUCAUAAAAAAAUGAUUUUUUUCAUUGAAAAGUAUCAAUCUUUAUUAAAAGUAUAUAAUAUUUUUAUUAAAAUAUUAACCACAUAAUAAAAUUAAUUUAUCAGACUUAUACCAACUUAAUUCAUUAAAGAAAUAAAGUUUAAUUUUUUAAACAUAAAUGACUAAAAUACGAUAAAUAAAGAUAAAAAAUUUAAGUCUUUUAUAAAAUAAAACAUAAAUAUAUGAAGAUAUGACAUUUUCUAAAUAAUUGUCAAUUAAAAAUAAUAAUAACAAUAAACCCGCGCUUUCAAAGCGUGGAUCAAAAUCUAGUCUAUACUAUUAAAGCAUGAACCUAUUAUCUUUUUUACCUUAAUUUGCCCUUUUAUUUAUUAACAUUGUAUGUUUCAUUAAAGGCAAUCAAGUAAUAUUAAUAUCACAUCUAUAUUGGGUCAUUUUUUUCGGAUCUAACCCACAUCAGAUCUCUCUUGGACCAUUUGGGCCGAUUAAGAAAUCAGAUCCAAUUCUCACAUUUUUUUUCUUUGGGCCAUUGAACCUAAGUUCAAAUAAUUUUUUUAAACUAUUAUUAACUAUUAUUUUUUUAUUUUCUUAAUAUAAUUUAAGCAUUCAUAAACAUUGAUUUUUUUCAUUGAAAAGUAUAAAUCUUUAUUAGAAGUAUAUUUUUUUAUUAAAAUAUUAACCACAUAAUAAAAUUAAUUUAUGAGAGUUAUACCAACUUAAUUCAUUAAAGAAGUAAAGUUUAAUUUUUUAAAACAUAAAUAGUC
rnacentral:lncRNA from 1 species